rnacentral:rRNA from 1 species
UUAUCUGAACCUUCGGGGAACGAUAACGGCGUCGAGCGGCGGACGGGUGAGUAAUGCCUAGGAAAUUGCCCUGAUGUGGGGGAUAACCAUUGGAAACGAUGGCUAAUACCGCAUGAUGCCUACGGGCCAAAGAGGGGGACCUUCGGGCCUCUCGCGUCAGGAUAUGCCUAGGUGGGAUUAGCUAGUUGGUGAGGUAAGGGCUCACCAAGGCGACGAUCCCUAGCUGGUCUGAGAGGAUGAUCAGCCACACUGGAACUGAGACACGGUCCAGACUCCUACGGGAGGCAGCAGUGGGGAAUAUUGCACAAUGGGCGCAAGCCUGAUGCAGCCAUGCCGCGUGUGUGAAGAAGGCCUUCGGGUUGUAAAGUACUUUCAGUCGUGAGGAAGGCGUUGUAGUUAAUAGCUGCAUCAUUUGACGUUAGCGACAGAAGAAGCACCGGCUAACUCCGUGCCAGCAGCCGCGGUAAUACGGAGGGUGCGAGCGUUAAUCGGAAUUACUGGGCGUAAAGCGCAUGCAGGUGGUUUGUUAAGUCAGAUGUGAAAGCCCGGGGCUCAACCUCGGAAUAGCAUUUGAAACUGGCAGACUAGAGUACUGUAGAGGGGGGUAGAAUUUCAGGUGUAGCGGUGAAAUGCGUAGAGAUCUGAAGGAAUACCGGUGGCGAAGGCGGCCCCCUGGACAGAUACUGACACUCAGAUGCGAAAGCG